GACGAACGCUGGCGGCGUGCUUAACACAUGCAAGUCGAACGGACGAGUGAGAUAAGUUUACUUAACUCACAAGUUAGUGGCGGACGGGUGAGUAACACGUGGAUAAUCUACCUGCAACACCGGGAUAACGCUGUGAAAACGGUGCUAAUACCGGAUACGUUCCCUUGUGCGCAUGUAUGAGGGAAGAAAGCUCAGGCGGUUGCAGAUGAGUCCGCGGCUGAUUAGCUAGUUGGUGAGGUAAAGGCUCACCAAGGCGAUGAUCAGUAGCCGGCCUGAGAGGGUGAACGGCCACACUGGGACUGAGACACGGCCCAGACUCCUACGGGAGGCAGCAGUGGGGAAUAUUGGACAAUGGGCGAAAGCCUGAUCCAGCAAUACCGCGUGUGUGAAGAAGGCCUGAGGGUUGUAAAGCACCUUCAAUAGGAAGGAAUACCUAUCGGCGAAUACCCGGUAGACUGACAUUACCUAUACAAGAAGCACCGGCUAACUCCGUGCC
rnacentral:rRNA from 1 species